rnacentral:SRP_RNA from 1 species
CCGUGCUAGCCGGGGAGGUAGCGGCACCCUGUCGCCCACAAUCCGCUGUAGUGGGGUUGAUGCCUGUCCUUAGGCUCCUUCUUCGUGGGGUCUGCCUUGAAUAAGUGGCGUUGACGAUCGAGUCUUGCGCAAUAGGAACUUUUGAACCGUGUCAGGUCCGGAAGGAAGCAGCACUAAGAAAGUCCCC